GAUGAAGAACGCAGCGAAAUGCGAUAAGUAAUGUGAAUUGCAGAAUUCAGUGAAUCAUCGAAUCUUUGAACGCUCAUUGCGUCCGUUAGCAUUCUAGCGGGCAUGCCUGUCCGAGCGUCAUUUCAACCCUCAGGGUCCCCGUUCCGGCGGGGAACCUGGUGUUGGGGAUCGGCCCGCCCCGUGCGGCGCCGUCCCCCAAAUUCAGUGGCGGUCUCGCUGCAGCCUCCCCUGCGUAGUAGUUACAACCUCGCAUCGGAGCUCAGCGCGGCCACGCCGUAAAACCCCCGACUUUCUGAACGUUGACCUCGGAUCAGGUAGGAAUACCCGCUGAACUUAAGCAUAUCAAUAAGCGGAGGA
rnacentral:misc_RNA from 1 species